AACCUCCAACUUCCUGGUGGGAGACGCCUCUGGCCUCCGACCCUGUCUCCGUCUCCGCCCCUCCAGCCGAGUGCACAGAGGCGGGCGUUAACUCCUCAUCGGUCACCCAGGCCCCACCCUACCCGCAGUCCCCGGGAGCCGCGCAUCCCCGCCGGCCGGGGGGAGGUGAAAUGAACGGGACCCUUGUGAUUCCACUGAAUGGGAUGACCCAGGAUGAUGUCCCAUUGAAAGUCUGCUGAGGAGCAGUUGCAUCUACAACCUUAACGCCCCUUGGCCAUGUAAGGAUUUACAGGCUCAGCGUUGACUCCAGAUUCAGCCCUUGCCAUCUUGCUCCCCACCUUGAGAGCAGCAGCACCAAAAAUAGCAGCAUGAGUCACUGAAGCAUCGGGCAUUGUCAUCAAGGGCCAGGACGCUUGCUGUGGUGGAGCUUCUGCUUGAGUUCCAGGGACCUGGGGAAGGGGACCCUGGCCAGCUGGCCCCCAUCACUGCCUCCUGUACCCCAGGGGGAGACCUGAGUUCACCGAGAAAUUUGAAGCCUGAAUUGGUGGAAAUGUUAAUGUUCUGAAGUGGCUUUACCAUGACACUGCAUAAGGACCUCAGGGUCCCUCAUUUGCA